rnacentral:rRNA from 1 species
AUACGGAGGAUGCGAGCGUUAUCCGGAUUUAUUGGGUUUAAAGGGAGCGUAGGCGGGAGCUUAAGUCAGCGGUUAAAUGGUGCGGCUCAACCGUGCCCUGCCGUUGAAACUGGGUUUCUUGAGAGUGCAAGAGGCGGAUGGAAUUCAUGGUGUAGCGGUUAAAUGCUUAGAUAUCAUGAAGAACUCCGAUUGCGAAGGCAGUCCGCUGGGGCACGUCUGACGCUGAUGCUCGAAGGUGCGGGAAUCAAACAGGAUUAGAUACCCUGGUAGUCCGCACGGUAAACGAUGAUUACCCGCUGUCGGCGGUAGACAGUCGGCGGCCAAGCGAAAGCGAUAAGUAAUCCACCUGGGGAGUACGCCGGCAACGGUGAAACUUAAAGGAAUUGACGGGG